GGUUGAUAGGUUCGAGGUGGAAGCAUGGUGACAUGUGGAGCUGACGAAUACUAAUAGAUCGAGGACUUAACCAUAUAAUAUGUA
rnacentral:rRNA from 1 species